ACGGGUGAGUAAUAUAUCGGAACGUACCUUUGAGUGGGGGAUAACUAGUCGAAAGAUUAGCUAAUACCGCAUACGAUCUACGGAUGAAAGUGGGGGAUCGCAAGACCUCAUGCUCAUAGAGCGGCCGAUAUCUGAUUAGCUAGUUGGUGAGGUAAAGGCUCACCAAGGCUUCGAUCAGUAGCUGGUCUGAGAGGACGACCAGCCACACUGGGACUGAGACACGGCCCAGACUCCUACGGGAGGCAGCAGUGGGGAAUUUCGGACAAUGGGGGCAACCCUGAUCCAGCAAUGCCGCGUGAGUGAAGAAGGCCUUCGGGUUGUAAAGCUCUUUUGUCAGGGAAGAAACGGGGUGUCCUAAUACGAUGCCCUAAUGACGGUACCUGAAGAAUAAGCACCGGCUAACUACGUGCCAGCAGCCGCGGUAAUACGUAGGGUGCAAGCGUUAAUCGGAAUUACUGGGCGUAAAGCGUGCGCAGGCGGUUAUGUAAGACAGGUGUGAAAUCCCCGGGCUUAACCUGGGAAUGGCAUUUGUGACUGCAUAGCUAGAGUGUGUCAGAGGGGGGUAGAAUUCCACGUGUAGCAGUG
rnacentral:rRNA from 1 species